rnacentral:misc_RNA from 1 species
CAGAGUUGAAAAACUCCCAAACCCAUGUGAACUUACCACUUGUUGCCUCGGCGGAUUGCCACUUCGGUGGUGGCCGCCGGUGGACCUUUAAACUCUUGUUAUUUUGAGUCAUCUGAGCGUCUUAUGUAAAUAAGUCA